GACUUUAUUCUAGUUUGGUUCACUAGAGCCACCAAGUGAACCAAAUGGUCAAACCCUAGGGGUGCAAAAAUUAAUAUUUAAAUAUAACUAUUACAUUUAAACCCGAGCUCCAUUACAAAUGGGUCUUCAAUCACUCCUUGCUCCUUGAUCUCCAAUUCUUCAAAAUUAAUUAUCACGCCCCCAAAAUAGGUCCAAUCCACAUAACCCAUUCUGAGUCGCCAAAUACAUGGUACAGAAAUAACUACAACUUCCUUAUUAUAAUUAUCAUUCAAAAUACGAUAACACAUAUACUGUGAAUUUUAAUACCAACUGUGACUCUCAUCCCUUUACUUGGAUAGCACCUCACAUUGAUACCUUACAUAAAGGUAUAGUCAAUAACUAUUUUAGAAAUUAAAAUCUUUGGAAAAUGCUCAAGGAAACCUUUGUACAUGGGAGGCCAUGCAUCUAAGUUAUAAUAGAUAUCAUAUGACUCGAGAAUUAUCCAUAGUUGACCCAAUAGACCCCAAAGAAAAAUGAGAAGAUUUCUAUAGUGUUCUUUCCAAUGGUGAGUCUUCUCUUGACAUAUAAUUAUCUCCAUUGUCUCCAAUUUUAACCAAACUCCAAGAUUAUAUAGGUAGUGCUCGUAGAUAUAAUCAGCAAGUGGAUGUGCACAACUCUGUCUUAUGAUACCAUGAAGUCGUAGGUCAUUAGACAUCUUGUAUGACAAUGGCAAAACACCCUUCCAAAGUUGGGUUCACCUCACCCUAUUCCGCUCACCAAAAUCAAAGGUUAAGUGACAUAUAAAAUACGACACACUUAUCUAAAAUUCUCAAUAAAAUUAUUUCCAAACUGUUUAGGGAAAACCUCAACAGCUAUAGACCACCGUUCUAUUCCCCUGUUGCCCCCGCUCGACCCAGCUACACUUUUAUUACCUGAAAGGAAUUGUGAAACAAAAGGGUGAACACAACUAGCCCAGUAAAGAAUAUCAUGACUAAAGAUAAUUAAAUUAUCAAUAGCCUUCAUCAGCAAUAAAUCAGAGAUUUAGAACAUAUGGUAGAUGAUAAAACUUUUCAACUAUAGUUGCAGUGGAACGAGCAAUCCAUUAUAAGAGUCAAAUAGAUCAUAAAGUCUAUUAUCUUCUACAUGUUAAAGGUCCACUAACAAUGUUUUAAUCCUGUAACAUCAUUUAAUAGUUCCUAUCCACAAUCAUGUGAAUAACUCAUAAUCAUAAUUGUAGUUCUAAAUUCCUCUUCUUAUCCAGGACGAAGAUAAUUUUAAUCACCUGUCUUUACCUGAAACAUCAAAGAUCAUGGUUAUACCAAAUCACAGUUCCUGUUCAUAAUCAUACUAAUAAAUUCAUCUUUGCACUACGGGCCAAAGAUAUUCAUCAACAGUUCAUCUUUGCACUACAGGCCAAAGAUAUUCAACAACAGGUCAUCUUUGCACUACGGGC
rnacentral:lncRNA from 1 species